GCCAACGUAGCUCAGGGGUAGAGCACCACCUUGGUAAGGUGGGGGUCGGCAGUUCAAUUCUGCUCGUUGGCU
rnacentral:tRNA from 3 species